rfam:Gossypium raimondii Chr02_contig_1438, whole genome shotgun sequence.
UAUUAAAAACUCCAUCUAUUUUUGCUGUUAAAAAAUUGUCAAUAUAUGUUAGAAUGAGGUAUACAUGGCAUGUCACGUGUAAUUGUCUAGUUAUUCUAUCAGUCAUGCUAGUUUUUAACAAUAGAAAUAGAUGAAAUUUUUAACA